AAAUCCCUUUAACACA
rnacentral:tRNA from 1 species